rnacentral:rRNA from 1 species
AGUAAAUAGAUACCCGGGUAGUCCACGCCGUAAACGAUGAGUACUAGGUGUAGGAGGUAUCGACUCCUUCUGUGCCGCAGUUAAACACAAUAAGUACUCCGCCUGGGAAGUACGGUCGCAAGAUUAAAACUCAAAGGAAUUGACGGGGGCCCGCACAAGCAGCGGAGCAUGUGGUUUAAAUUCGAAGCAACGCGAAGAACCUUACCUAGACUUGACAUCUCUGAAUAGUGUAGAGAUACAUGAAGCCCUUCGGGGCAGGAAGACAGGUGGUGCAUGGUUGUCGUCAGCUCGUGUCGUGAGAUGUUGGGUUAAGUCCCGCAACGAGCGCAACCCUUACUUACUAGUUGCUACCAUUAAGUUGAGCACUCUAGUGAGACUGCCCGGGUUAACCGGGA